GAGUGAAUUAAGGGGUUGCCGUGUCCUUCCCUCAUAGUUUCGGGGAAAUGAAGCUCUCACAGAGAGCGGAAGAAACGGAGAGACAGAGAGACAGACAAAGAGAGAAAGAGAGAGAGACAUACAGAGAGAGAAAGAGAGAGAGAGACACAGAGAGAGAUAGAGAUGCCAAGGGGAAGACAGCGCAGGGGAGAGUGUCAUUUGCUGUCCUUCAAUGAGGGUUUCGGGGGGAUGGAGACUCUGACAGAGAGCGGAAGAAAGAGAGAGAGAGAGAGAGAGAGAGAGAGAGAGAGAUGACGAUGGAAAGAGAGCGAAGGGGAAAGCUAUCAGUCAUGGAUUUCAGAAGUGGGGAUACGGAUUAUCCGGAUCUACCGCUGCAUGCCUGGAUUUCGAAAGCUAAGUGCUUCUAAAAUUUUUUUUUUUUCUAUCAGCUUAGAUCUGCCUUUUUGUUGUGGAUUAUUUUCGAAUUUUUUAGUGUGUUACGUCAGAUUUUGGGGGAAUCAUCAGAGAUAUUUAUUUGCCUUAUUAGUUUUGUUUUCUCUCAUUUUGCACAUUGAUCUCUCUGUCUGCAUAUUUGUUCUCAGUCUUAAGGUCCGUAAUUUUUUUUUUUUUUUUUUUUUGGGGUUUUUUGUAUGGCUUUUUUUUUUCUUUUUGUUUUCCAGGUUAUAGAUCUAAUGCUCUUUUGUGUACCAAUCUUGGUUUAGUUUUCUUUUCUCUCAUUUUACACAUUCAUCUCUCUCUCUCUCUGCGUGUUUGUUCUCUGUCUUAAGGUCCGUAAUAUUUUUUUUUUUUUUGGGGUUUUUUGUAUGGCUUUUUUUGUUUUCUUUUUGUUUUCCAGGUUAUAGAUCUAAUGCUCUUUUGUAUACCAAUUUUGGUUUUGUUUUUCUUGGAAAAUUGUUUUUAUCUGAUUGUGGAUUCGUGGGUUUUAAUUCCUAUCGUUUGUUGCAGGUUGCAAAGCAGGAAGUUCUUACCUGAAGAUUCAGUUUAAGGUUGCAAAGCAGGAAGUUCUCACCUGAAGCUUCAGUUUAAGGUACUGUUAUUAUUAUUUUUAGUUCUUAGAAUUUAAUGUUUCGAACUGAUAUGAUAAUUUGGUUGUGAAAUGUGGGAUUUGUGUUCGCCUUCUGUUGCGUAUGUGAUGUUGUCUAUUGUUAUUACUGGGUGGAGAUUGCAUGUAUUGCGGAUGUUUUUGGAAAUACAAAAAUUUUUUUUAGCACUAAAGUUAUAUUGGUUGUAAAAUGGUUUUGGAAGAUGAUUGUCUCAUUAUAUAAACUGCAUGUAUAAGGAUAUGGUGAGAAAACUAAUUAAACUGAAUCUUGGUGAUGAUUUUGUUCUUCGGAAGUUGUUAUAAAGCGAUUCAAUUUAGUUGCUAUUUCUGUUUAUGCUUCCAAACUCGAUUUUUGAGAGGUUUUUGGUCACCAAAUUUUUAUUGUUUUUAUGGUUCAUUUUUUAUUAAAGUUUUUCAAUUGUUUUAUAUUGGGUUGCAAAUGUUUAUGGAAGUACAAGAUUUUGUGAUUUUGUGGAUGUGAAGAAUUUGUGCAUGCCGAGCUUGAUAAUGAGUCACCGAUAGAUAACAGCCCUCAAAUUUAUCAGAGUUUAGAGUGUGUGCAUUGAACUCUUUAACUUAGUAGCAUUUCCUAAAAACAAAGAGCAUGAUGACUAUUUUUCUAAUACUAAUUAAUACCAAUUUGCUAAUUCAUUACCUAACGCGGAAUUAAAAGAAAAAGGUCAAAAUUCAUGGUCUUUUUUGUUGUUCUGGCCUUCAAAGUCUUCGGAAGUAGGAACUUAAAAUACGACUUGCCACAUAGUGGGAAGAUGCAAGGAUUUUCUGGAUAUAGAUUAGUGUUGUGAUAUGCCUGAUUCAUGGACACUUGGAUACCUACGUGUAUGUAAUUUAUUGUAAAUAUGUUAAUCAUUGUAAAUGUGAUUAUAAAUAAAUUUUCACAUGUAUGUAAAUAUGUUGGUAAUUAUAGUUUCUGGUAUCUUUUUGCUGAAA